GACUUUUGGAGGGCUGAGUUGCAGGCGGCGGGCGCAUCCCAGAGAUGGCGGGGCAGGGAGGGAGGGAAAGAGAGGAGGGGGUGGGGAGGGAGGUGCAGAUUUGCACGGAUGGCCUCAGCGGGAGGCGCGGAAAUGCUAGCCAAGCCUGCUGGCGUGAAAGCCCCCGGGGCCUGGCACCCCCCAAAACGACCCCCCACCUCUGCCCCUGCCCCCUCUUGCUUGGGUUACGCAGGGCUGUCCCUCUCUUCCUUCACCCACCUUUCCUCAUUACCUAUGCUGGCGACCUAAAUUCAAAGUAUUUUGUAUGUGUGAUUUCUUUUUCUGUUUUGCUUUUCUACUGCAUGCCUGGGGGGAGGGGCCAGCCUGUCCAGACCCUUAUCCAUUUGCGAACCUGCCAUAUGGAGGAGGCAUCUGAGGGGCUCAGAAAGAAAUUACCUCAGCACUGUAUCUGUACAGACUGCAUAACUUUUAAACUCCCGGGGCUGAAAUAAUAAUAUGGAGACACACGCACAGGUACAGGAAAUACAGCCAGUCCACAGCCUUUUCAGACUGCAGCUGACCGGAAGAAAGCCUUUGGUUCAUUCAUUCGGAUAGCCUCGGUAGUACAGCCCUGAAACAGAAGUUGGGCUUUUAAAGAGAAAGGAAAAAAAGUCUCUACACUCGCUGAGAAGAGAUAAAUCGAUACACAGGAGGGAAUAGAGAAUCGGAUUCAACGUCUCUAAUGCAGGCAGGCAAAAGGCUUCUGUGCCCUGUGUCUUGAAGUCAAAAAGAAACAAAACUCUUUAACAACUGUCCAGCCUUCCUCUUGGAGAACGGCUUAAUGUUCUACUUGGCAUUCUGGGUGGUUUUUUGUUUUUCCAGUGUGCCUCUUCCUGUGUAAGGACUGGAAAGGACCCUGGAAACCACAGAGAACUCCCCUGCCUCAAAGGAACGAGAUGACGAAUGAGGAUGCCUAUACCCUCCUCUGGCCUCCGAGAGUCCAUGGGUCCAAGCACCUGCACAUGACACAUGCAUAAGUAAUGAUCACCCAGUGCCCAAUGCUGAGCCUGCGGCUACAGAGAGAGAGAGCAGACAUAUCUUCUUGCCUCUGGCUACUAGACUGCCCUGAGAUCAGAGAGAUCCUGCACCAGGUGCCUGGGUUGUACAGUACCAGGGACAGAACGUAUGGUGUUGGGUGUGAUAGGCAAUCACUUAGCUACAUCACCCACGUCCUUGCCUGUCACUGUCUUUAAUAUACAUCAUAUCUUAAGCGGUACCUCUGUUUGGUCUCAAACUACAACUUAGCUGGAAGCCCACACCCUGCCAUUUCUCCCCUAGUGCCCGCACUACAAUCCCUCCCACAGGGUGUAGUUCCUCUUUCCUGGGUAAAUUAUUUUGCAGGUGGUGUCACUGGCCACUGGCUUUUAAUCCUUUUCAGAUGGCAUUCAGUAAUUCAUAGAUUGUUCAUGAAACUCAACCUUGAUACACACACACACACACACACACACACACACACGCAGAGCAGCCUUUAUAGGAAACCCUCCUGUUCCCUCCCUUCCCGUGCCACCUGCUCCUGGAAGAGAACAGGCUUUCCCCUGGGGAGGAUGGAAUGUUCCGCAAAAGGACAGUUGGCUCUUCUCCGCAGCUCCAAGAGAAGCUCUUAAUCAUCUAACAUCUGCCUCUCUUGUUUAAGUAAAAAAUUCUUUGCAAAGACAGAUCUUGUCUUUAGCCCCAUGGAUCCGGCUCACAGGGUACACGUUUAAAAAUACUUAGGGGCUGGAGAGAUGGCCCAGUGGUUAAGAACACUUGCUGUUCUGACCAAAGGACCUGAGGGGCUCACAACCAUCUGUGCAUGUUCUCAAACAGGCGCGUGCGAGAGCACAUGCACACACAUACCUGUGCGUAAAAAUAAAAAAUGUGAUAAAGAAAAAA
rnacentral:lncRNA from 1 species